rnacentral:misc_RNA from 1 species
UGCAAUGCACCUGAUAGCAAUGGCGUCUGGAAGGCCUUCAAUCAGUUCAGACAUGCUAAUCACUGUUUCACCUAGUCCCAAAUGAUUCUUCAAUGGUGAAUUUGUUGCAGUGCUGAUGACAGUAUUGGCAUAGGCUAUCUGAUAAAACAGAGUGAAAAAGCAAGGUUAUGCAGAAACCAAGUCAUAGUUUAGGAAUUUCAAAAGCAAUGUACUUAUAAAGGCUAAUCUAAACACCGAUAAGAACAAAACUACUAAAUUUGUGUUUAGAUGUCAUUGAGAACACUUGAAAAAGAAAAUAAUCAUUGAAAUACCCAGUAGCCAUCAUUCCACCUGCACAAUUGUCUAUGUUGAUAUUGUCACAAAAGGACUAUGAGAACAUAUCUAUUUAUAUUUCAAAGCUCUAGGUAAAUCUGAUUAAACAAAACCAUGAGUGUAAUAUCUUUGAGACAAGUGAAAACAGUAGAACCAGAAAAGGGACAAUUGAAAAUGGUAACCAAUAAUCGAAAUCUCUGUCAACGUUUUUGGAUCACCUCAUUUCUGAAUAUAUAGUCUCCUCAUCCUCACAGUUCCCCAGAAUGUCAUGUGGCAUUUAAGUGCCCUUUCAGUUUAUUCCCAUUUUUUAUGAAGGUAUCCUAGGAAUAGUAUUUAGAAUUAUACAAUCCUUUUCAUUGCAUGAAGCAACCAUGAAUGGUUUGCCAAAUCCUAUAAGACAAACAAAUGUCAACAUCUCAAGGGGGUUUAUGAACUCAAAUUUCAUCAAUUUUUUACUGAAAUGAAAAUCUAAAAUUACGUGGAACAUUGACUUUUUACAAUAAUAAGCAAUAAACUUCUUAUUGUAGUAAAUUCAAUUGACAAAGCCUCAAGCCCAAGUAAAUCACCUCUUUGACAUAUUGACAUACACAGAAAUUGGAAUGAUGGUGCAGAAUAUCAUAAGUCAAACAAUAAUUGAUACAUUAGAAUCCCAAAAAGACAUGAAUUAUAUAAACUUAAAAGACCAACAGAGUAUAGAGACAGAAAAGGCAAUUUUUUGCUUUCUUAAAAGUAACUUCCUUUGUUUUAGGGAUUGGACUUUUGAGCAAAAUCAAUUUGAAUUCUUUAUUAAAAAAAACCCAUAAUAUUUCCAUUUAAUCAAUAGAUAGCAUAAGAUAAAUUUGUGACAUUAAUGAUGGUAACAUGAUAUGUGCUGCAGAUAGUUUUGCAUGUAAAGCAGCAUCUAGCACAUCAUAUUCCGCAUUGACUGUAUUUCAUGGAGAUCUUGGAAUUCUGCUGAAGAAAUAGAAUCAAUUAUUAAACUUUACCAAUCUCAAAUAUAUUACUCUUUUUGAUCCCUUAACAAACACACACCCAUAUGCUUGCUUCUUAAUAACUGAAAUUCAAAACCAAUCCCAAGAACCAUAAAUUUAACUCAGUCUUAAUCAAUGUUAAUUUGUUAUCAUUAAUCUCACUUUGACUUAACAGAAAUGCCUAUAUGAUUAAGAUAUUAGGAAUGCAUAAAUCUAUUAACUCAUAUGAUUUUUCACCAAAAGAACUAAACAUUAUAUAUAAAAUCCAGCCAAGAGAAAAAUGUUCAAACAACAAUUGUAUAAAUAGGACAGACAGUGCUACGAUAUAACAGUAGUAAUAUUGAAAUUGCUUUAAUCUUAUAUGCCAAUGGCAUCCAUAGAACAAAACAUUUGCUAAACAGCAAUGAUUGACUAAAAGGUACCGCAAUCAAUAUUUUAGAACAGCAUUAUCUAAAAGUCAAUGAAUGGGAAUGGCUAAAAAAAUUUCAAAUUAUGAAUUUUUAUUCAUAAUUAAUAACAUUAGAAAAUAUAAAAAUAAAUGUGAAUAAACAACAAUAAUGGGAUAUAAGCCUCAUGAUCCAAUCUUGAUAAUGUUCAGUCAUCCAAAAUUUCUAUGAAACUUCUCUAACUCUGUCAACAACCUAGAAUUUCUAGAUAAAAAUCAUUAGUUUUUGUCAAUAUCUUCCGAACUACCAAAAGUUCUCCUACUACAAAUGACAAUGGGUAUCUGGGUUAUCAACGAAAGACAGAAGGGGAAAAAAAGCCUCUUGAGAGGGUGGAGUUGGUGAAGAAGAUAAAUCAGACUACACAAAUGAAAGAAAACAAGAAUGGGAGAAAAAGCAGCACAACCAUACCUAAUCCAAGUGUUCAAAUAUUAACAUCUUUCAGGAUUCAAAUCCAAUGUUAAUUCACAGAAUUACAUUGAGAUGAACACUUUGCAGGCAAUCUUCUAAAUCAAAAUAAAACUACACAAGAGAGCUUGAAUCCAAGCAAAAUUUGCUUUCAAAUUUCCAAGUAGUGUUUAAACCCCUUAAUUCCACUUCACAUAUUUUAUAAAUUCCCAUGUGAAAUAAGUUUCUAACGUCAGCCCACAAGGACAGUUUCAUCACAAAUAUUGAAGUUCAAAGUCAACACAGUAAUGCUGUUAACCAUCUUUAUAACCAAGCACAAAUCACCUAACUGCAGAAAGCAACUACCUAAAUACCUAGCUGCACAAAUGUGUAUACAUUGUGAUUUGUGAAGCUGACGCAUGAAUUAUAAAAGGCCUCCUAAUUUUCCCUAGCGAUUAAAUGUAUACCUCCUGAUAUACAACAGCCAGAAAUACAACAACCUAAGAUGUUAAGAGUUGCCAUUUGCCAUAUAUUCCUAAGUAGAUUGAUUCACAAACACACACAGGAGCAUUGAUCAUAAAAAUUCCACACACAAUUUUGACACAAAUAAUACCUUGAGCAUUUGAGGUAACAAUUUCACUAUGGAAAAUCCAGCAUGAAAAAAAGCAAAUCUCAUAUUCAUAUACAUACAUCUAAGAUCAAAUUAUUUCUUAGAGCCUUAUAACAUAACCUCCUAAAUUGACUGGAGAAACCCCAAAACCCCCACAGAUUAAAAAAAAAAAAAAUGCUUUACAGUCUAACACAUGCAAAUCAUCACCAAAACUCCAAAAUUUCUAGUUAAAUCCACACGCAUUUCUAAACAUUCAACGGAAAAGCAAUUUCCGUUAAAUUCAUAACAAAAUCAAAACGCAAAGGCACCAAAUUGAAAUCAGAACACUGAAACUCAACCGCAAGAACAUACAACACGACAACCAAAAAAAACCGAAAAAAUUCAGUUUUUUAACUUCCAACGCAAAACCCACUUCUAAUUCAGCAAAAGAAAUAAUGGGUAUUCAAUAAUUUCACAAUCUAAUCAAAAUUGGAAGGAAUUGGCCAUCAAAAUUUGUGACAGAAGAUUAUGACCUCCGCCUUAAAC